GAUGAACGCUGGCGGCGUGCCUAAUACAUGCAAGUCGAACGAGGUGCUUUUGUAGCAAUACGAGAGUAUCCUAGUGGCGAACGGGUGAGUAACGCGUUGGUGACCUACCCCAAAGUGUGGGAUAACAGUCCGAAAGGAUUGCUAAUACCGCAUGUGGUCUUCGGAUUUAGAAACUGAUGACUAAAGGAGCAAUUCGCUUUGGGUGGGACCUGCGUCCCAUCAGCUAGUUGGUGAGGUAAUGGCUCACCAAGGCUACGACGGGUAGGGGACCUGAGAGGGUGACCCCCCACAAUGGAACUGAAACACGGCCCAUACACCUACGGGUGGCAGCAGUAGGGAAUAUUGCACAAUGGGCGAAAGCCUGAUGCAGCAACGCCGCGUGUGCGAUGAAGGCCUUCGGGUCGUAAAGCACUUUUCUGGGAGAUGAGCAAGGACAGUAUCUCAGGAAUAAGUCUCGGCUAACUACGUGCCAGCCGCCGCAGUAACAC
rnacentral:rRNA from 1 species